AAUUAGCGGAUGACUUGUGGCUGGGGGUGAAAGGCCAAUCAAACCGGGAGAUAGCUGGUUCUCCCCGAAAGCUAUUUAGGUAGCGCCUCGUGAAUUCAUCUCCGGGGGUAGAGCACUGUUUCGGCAAGGGGGUCAUCCCGACUUACCAACCCGAUGCAAACUGCGAAUACCGGAGAAUGUUAUCACGGGAGACACACGGCGGGUGCUAACGUCCGUCGUGAAGAGGGAAACAACCCAGACCGCCAGCUAAGGUCCCAAAGUCAUGGUUAAGUGGGAAACGAUGUGGGAAGGCCCAGACAGCCAGGAUGUUGGCUUAGAAGCAGCCAUCAUUUAAAGAAAGCGUAAUAGCUCACUGGUCGAGUCGGCCUGCGCGGAAGAUGUAACGGGGCUAAACCAUGCACCGAAGCUGCGGCAGCGACGCUUAUGCGUUGUUGGGUAGGGGAGCGUUCUGUAAGCCUGCGAAGGUGUGCUGUGAGGCAUGCUGGAGGUAUCAGAAGUGCGAAUGCUGACAUAAGUAACGAUAAAGCGGGUGAAAAGCCCGCUCGCCGGAAGACCAAGGGUUCCUGUCCAACGUUAAUCGGGGCAGGGUGAGUCGACCCCUAAGGCGAGGCCGAAAGGCGUAGUCGAUGGGAAACAGGUUAAUAUUCCUGUACUUGGUGUUACUGCGAAGGGGGGACGGAGAAGGCUAUGUUGGCCGGGCGACGGUUGUCCCGGUUUAAGCGUGUAGGCUGGUUUUCCAGGCAAAUCCGGAAAAUCAAGGCUGAGGCGUGAUGACGAGGCACUACGGUGCUGAAGCAACAAAUGCCCUGCUUCCAGGAAAAGCCUCUAAGCAUCAGGUAACAUCAAAUCGUACCCCAAACCGACACAGGUGGUCAGGUAGAGAAUACCAAGGCGCUUGAGAGAACUCGGGUGAAGGAACUAGGCAAAAUGGUGCCGUAACUUCGGGAGAAGGCACGCUGAUAUGUAGGUGAAGCGACUUGCUCGUGGAGCUGAAAUCAGUCGAAGAUACCAGCUGGCUGCAACUGUUUAUUAAAAACACAGCACUGUGCAAACACGAAAGUGGACGUAUACGGUGUGACGCCUGCCCGGUGCCGGAAGGUUAAUUGAUGGGGUUAGCGGUAACGCGAAGCUCUUGAUCGAAGCCCCGGUAAACGGCGGCCGUAACUAUAACGGUCCUAAGGUAGCGAAAUUCCUUGUCGGGUAAGUUCCGACCUGCACGAAUGGCGUAAUGAUGGCCAGGCUGUCUCCACCCGAGACUCAGUGAAAUUGAACUCGCUGUGAAGAUGCAGUGUACCCGCGGCAAGACGGAAAGACCCCGUGAACCUUUACUAUAGCUUGACACUGAACAUUGAGCCUUGAUGUGUAGGAUAGGUGGGAGGCUUUGAAGUGUGGACGCCAGUCUGCAUGGAGCCGACCUUGAAAUACCACCCUUUAAUGUUUGAUGUUCUAACGUUGGCCCCUGAUCGGGGUUGCGGACAGUGUCUGGUGGGUAGUUUGACUGGGGCGGUCUCCUCCUAAAGAGUAACGGAGGAGCACGAAGGUUGGCUAAUCCUGGUCGGACAUCAGGAGGUUAGUGCAAUGGCAUAAGCCAGCUUGACUGCGAGCGUGACGGCGCGAGCAGGUGCGAAAGCAGGUCAUAGUGAUCCGGUGGUUCUGAAUGGAAGGGCCAUCGCUCAACGGAUAAAAGGUACUCCGGGGAUAACAGGCUGAUACCGCCCAAGAGUUCAUAUCGACGGCGGUGUUUGGCACCUCGAUGUCGGCUCAUCACAUCCUGGGGCUGAAGUAGGUCCCAAGGGUAUGGCUGUUCGCCAUUUAAAGUGGUACGCGAGCUGGGUUUAGAACGUCGUGAGACAGUUCGGUCCCUAUCUGCCGUGGGCGCUGGAGAACUGAGGGGGGCUGCUCCUAGUACGAGAGGACCGGAGUGGACGCAUCACUGGUGUUCGGGUUGUCAUGCCAAUGGCACUGCCCGGUAGCUAAAUGCGGAAGAGAUAAGUGCUGAAAGCAUCUAAGCACGAAACUUGCCCCGAGAUGAGUUCUCCCUGAGACUUUAAGUCUCCUGAAGGAACGUUGAAGACGACGACGUUGAUAGGCCGGGUGUGUAAGCGCAGCGAUGCGUUGAGCUAACCGGUACUAAUGAACCGUGAGGCUUAACCUUACAACGCCGAAG
rnacentral:rRNA from 1 species